AAGCUCAUUGGCUUGCACGGGCCCAAAACCAUGGGCUCUAAUACCAUAUUGGAUUUUUAGAUUGCCUAGCACACCCUCACUUUAACGACAUCAAUAUUGUCCCCAACUUAACCACCUGUUAAAUCCGUCAGGUGUGGGGUUUUACCACAAAAGGCCUUGGUAUUAAUUAGAGUAGGGUAAUACUAUUUAAACUCAUUGGGUUUCUUUGAACCCACCAAUGUGGGAUUUUAACACUCCAUUGUCCUAUUUCUACACCCACAUUAUAAUUUCACCUAGGGGUGGGCAUGGGCCGGGCCGGGCCCAAAUUUGGAGGAAUCGGACCUACCCUUUUUAAAAUGUAACGGGCCAGGGCGGGCCGGGUAGAGAGAUUUUGAAUUUAGGAACCGGACCUAACCCGGCCUGUUUUAAACAGGCCGGUUCAGGACAGGUCUACGGGUCCAAUUACUUUUUUUUUUCUAGGUCUGACAUUGGGCUGCUUUUUUUUAUUACCAACAACACAUUCACAAUUACAAGGCCAAAUACAAUAGGACAACGAAACAAAGCCCAGCAUAAAAAACCCUAACACCUUCAUCCUCUGCCGCUGCAUCCUCCGCCACUGCUACCAUCAGAAGGACAACCAAACUCGAACCAGUGGCCUGAAAUCAAGCCAAAUCAAGCUCCCAAAGCGGAUAAAAAGACGACUUCAACAAGUCCUGCAAGAUCCUUCACUACAUGAUUUUCCAAAAUUCAGUAAAGCAAGUAAAUUAUUAUUCUUUCAUUAAAAAAAAAAAAAAAAAAAAAAAAACUCUUGACAAAUCAAACCCACAAUGAAUUUAUACUUGGAUGCUCAAAACCCUAACUGAGAAUCAACAAUUAGAUAGCUAACUGAACAAAGUUGUUGCACACAUAGCAAUUCAAAGAAGAACCUCUACACACGUAUUAUACUUUAUCCCCAUCUAAAUGUUGGGAAAACUUUUUGAAUCUGUAAACUUAAGCUUGCUGCUAAUAUUGAUGGCUAAGAAGCUCUGAAUUUCAUUAUCUUUAAAUGAGAAAGAUUACAACUUAAAUAGGCAAAACAUCCCUACUGCUGCAAGUAAUACAACGCUACUUUGCAGAUUUUGUGGAGUUACAUCCCACGACUCUAGCAUGCAAAAACAAACCCUAACCAUGACUCCUACACCUUAGGGAUCCUCCUGUAGACUAGGUAAACAAUCCUAACUACAGGCAACCAUUUUAUUAAAAAAACAAAUAACCUAAAGAUAAAUCUUAACACCCUCCCUUAAACUGAUUUCUGCAGAAAACAGUUUAAAACCGAUCUUUAGCUUCACUUUUCUCUAGCGUGAGUCCCUCCCUUGAACAAACUCCAAGCAUACUUCUGAGCUUCUCGAACACUGGCUGUUUGAGAGGUUUUGUCAUGAGAUCAGCCACCUGGUCUUCACUCUUGCAGUAAUGCAGCUCAAUCACACCUUCUUUGCAUAGAUCACGUAAGAAAUGGUAUCUAACAUCGAUAUGUUUGCUUCUUCCAUGCAUGACUGGAUUCCUGGAUAGCUUGAUUGCUGAAACAUUAUCACAAUAAAUUAAUGUUGAGUCUUGUUGCUGAUUACCAAGAACUUCUAGCAUUCUUCUCAGCCAAAUAGCUUGACAGGAACAUGAAGCAGCUACCACGAACUCAGCUUCAGUUGUGGAUAAUGUCACGAUUUGUUGUUUCUUCGAGGACCAUGAAACUGCACCUGAACUCAUUAAAAACACAUUUCCAGAAGUGCUUUUACGAUCAUCAAUGUCUCCUGCAUAAUCACUGUCAGUAAAGCCAAAAAAAUGUGACUUUCCUCCCUUCUUAUAGAAAAUCCCAAAAUCUGUUGUGCCUUUUAAGUAACGAAAAAUUCUCUUGGCUGCCCUGAGAUGCAUCUCAGUGGGAUUCUCCAUGUAACGACUUAUCACACUUACAGAAUGCAUGAUAUCAGGCCUUGUGUAAUGAGCAUUUUACCUUCAUCUCCUACCUUAACGUACAAGGUAUGCUCAUAUGGACACUUUUGGAAGCUUUGUUUGACAAAGUAUGCAUCUAUGCGACUGUACCAAGCUCGUGGUGCUUGUUUCAGUCCAUAGAGUGCCUUCUUCAACCUCAAAACCUUCUUCUCUUUUCCUUGCUGCACAUAGCCUGUAGGCUGAUCAACAAACACUUGUUCUUGCAGUUCACCAUGUAAAAAGGGGGAUUUUACAUCUAGUUGAUAGAUAGGCCACGAGUUUUGAGCAGCAAGAGAGAUUACCAAGCGAAUUGUGUCUUGCCUUGCAACUGGAGCAAACACCUCUUUGUAAUCGAAGCCAUACUUUUGCUUGUAUCCCUUUGCUACCAAACGGGCUUUAUGCUUAUCCACCUCACCUUUUUCAUUCAAUUUGGUUUUGAAGAUCCACUUCAACCCAAUAGUCUUCUGACCUCUCGGCAAAUCUAUAAGCUCCCACGUAUCAUUUUUCUCAAUGGACCUAAUUUCUGCAUCCAUUGCCUUUUAACAUUUCGAGUCUUCAACUGCUUCCUCAAAGGUGAGAGGAGUGAAAUCUGCAAACAAGGCAAAGUAUGCAGUAGUGUCAUCAUCAAAGAGUUCAUCUCCACUUACAUAAUCAAUCAUCCACGAUGGUCUUUUCCUCGGUCGUUGAGUUUGAGGUGAAUGGUCAUCCGUAGGUUGAGCAUUUUCUGGUGGGAUUUCGUCAGGCUCAGGAGACUGCUCAACCCUAACUUAUGUUGCUUCAAAGUUAGCCGGUAUUUGCUGCUACUGCUUGCUCUUUCCAGCCCAAUCCCACGUCUUUUCUUCAUCAAAAAACACAUCUCGACUGGUAAUCAUCUUCUCCAUUGUUGGAUUGUACAACUUAUAAGCUUUGGAGUGUUCACUGACUCCAAGGAAAACACAUUUUACGCCUUUGUCAUCAAGCUUCUUUCUUUUCUCGUCUGGAAUGUGUGCAUAUGCUAUGCAGCCAAAUAUUUUAAAAUGAUCUACUGAGGGUUUCCGCCCACUCCAAGCUUCCUCUGGUGUCAUGUUCUUAACAGAAAAAGUAGGGCACCUAUUUAAAACAUGAAUGGACCACAGUAUAGUUUCAGGCCAAAAACUUUUAGGAACACCUCCCUUCACUAGCAAGCUUCUGACCAUGUUGAGAAUGGUUCGGUUUUUCCUCUCGGAUACAUCGUUUUGCUGGGGUGUGUAUGAGGCAGUGAGCUGCCUUCGAAUCCCUUGCUCAUCACAGAAAGCUUCAAACUCCUUUGAACAAUACUCACCACCACGAUCAAUUCGAAGGGUUUUGAUCUUUCUGCCACUUUCAGUCUCAACCAGUGCCUUAAAGCUUUUAAAUGCAUUAAAAGCUUCUGAUUUUUCCUGCAAAAAAUACACCCAAGCCUUUCUACUGAAGUCAUCAAUAAAAGAAAUAAAGUAUUUCUUUUUACCAUUCGACAUGGGACUGAUUGGACCACAAAUGUCUGAAUGCACUAGCUCCAAUAUGUUUUGAGCUCUCCACGCCUUUCCCUUUGGAAAUUGAUCACGGUGCUGUUUGCUAAUGACACAUGCUUCACAGACUUCAGAUGGAGGUGUGAUCAUGGGAAGGCCAGUCACCAUUUGCUUCUGAUGCAGUGUCCUCAGACCGCUGAAAUUCAGAUGGCCAUAACGUAGGUGCCACAGCCACGAUGAGUCGUCUUCCUUAGCCAUCAAACUAGUUUGAACAGUUUUGAUCUUCAGCGGAAACAAUCUGUUUUGGCUCAUUUGAACAACAGCAAUGGCACCCCUUACUGGAUCAUAUAUCUUACAUGCAUCUUUCUGAAGAGUUAUUAUAUAACCUUUUUCUUGUAGCUGUCCAGCACUCAACAAAUUUGUUUUCAAACUAGGCACAUAAAAUACAUUCGAAAUCGUUUCAACAAAAUCAUUCUUAGUCCUAAUUUGAAUAUCACCCUUUCCAAUUACAUUGACACGUGACCAAUCCCCAAAGCUCACAGUAGUUUGAAAGUUUUCAUCCAAAAAUGAGAAAGAUGACUUACUGCCAGUCAUAUGAUUGUUGCAACCUGUGUCAACAUACCAUACUUCGGAAUCAAUCUCCUCCUUGACGUGGAAUACCAUCAAUAGUGUCUCAUCAUCCUUCUUUUCAACAAAGUUGGACUUCUCUCCCUUCUCUUUGUCUUUUGGCAGCUUCGUGUAGCAUUCAUUGCGAUAAUGCCCAAGAUUUCCACACCUAUAGCACUCGAUGUUGGACUUGUCAACUUGUCCUUUGCCUCUAUUCUGAGAGUGAUCAUCAUGUCUCUUGGAACUUUGGUGUUGUCUGUCUCCAUCUCGGUUGCCUCGACCACCUCGACCUCUUCCUCUACCUCUACCUCUGCCUCUUCCUCUUGAGCUUGAGGAUUCAAAAAAGGUAGAAGCUUUCAGAGCCUGUUCUUCUAAGUUGGCACGUUCUGUGAUCCCACGGUUCAGCUGCUGCUCAUGGACCAACAAUGAGCUUUGAAGCUCAUCAAUCGACAUCUCUGCAGUAUCAUUUGACUCUUCAAUAGAGCAAACGAUGUAGUUGAACUUUAGAGCCAUAGAUCUCAGGAUCUUCUCUACAAUGGAGCCAUCAUUAAGCUUGUCACCAUGGAUUCGCAUUUUGUUUGCAAUCCCCAUGGUCCUUGCAAAAUACUCGGUGACAGACUCUCCAUUCUUCAUUUGGAGAGUCUCAAAGUCUCGUCUCAGGGCCUGAAGCUGUGCACGCUUCACUCUUGCUGACCCUUGGUACUUUCUCUUCAUGAAGUCCCAAAUGUGCUUGGAAGUAUCCUUCUGGAGAAUAGUCUCCAAAAUAGCACGAUCAAUUGAUUGGAAUAGGUAAUUCUUUACCUUCAGAUCCUUCAGCUUCAGUUCUUCAAGCUUACGUUGUUGCGCAGUCGUAAGCGUACUUUCUUCGGGUACAGUAUACCCCGUUUCCACAAGAUCCCAGUACUCUUUGGACCUUAGAAAAUUCUCCAUCAACAUGCUCCAAUGAUCGUAGUGACCGUCGAAGCGAGGAAUGGCUGGUUGAACGAAAUUCUCUACUGGCUUGUCAGACGCCAUGGAUGCUUGCUACCGCAAGAAAAAAGCUAUUACUUCUAUGAGAGAUUCUCGACACAGGCCCAGUGGGGGCUCUGGUACCAAAUGUUGGGAAAACUUUUUGAAUCUGUAAACUUAAGCUUGCUGCUAAUAUUGAUGGCUAAGAAGCUCUGAAUUUCAUUAUCUUUAAAUGAGAAAGAUUACAACUUAAAUAGGCAAAACAUCCCUACUGCUGCAAGUAAUACAACGCUACUUUGCAGAUUUUGUGGAGUUACAUCCCACGACUUUAGCAUGCAAAAACAAACCCUAACCAUGACUCCUACAUCUUAGGGAUCCUCCUGUAGACUAGGUAAACAAUCCUAACUACAGGCAACCACUUUAUUAAAAAAACAAAUAACCUAAAGAUAAAUCUUAACACUAAAAUCAUUAAACCCAGAUCGUAAAAUAAUCAGAAUUCGCUAGAAAAACCAUAACCAUUAUCAUAUAUGAGAAAAAGCAAUAAAAUUGAAAUCCCAAAUUAAAAAAAUCGAAAAACCGUAGCUCGAAAAUUCAAUUUUUCAUCUGGAUAACAUGCAAUUCAAAUAAAAAUUAAAACUUUCCAUCUGGGUUCCUUCAAUUCUACCCAACAAUACUGAAAUGCGAAAUUAGGCAUACCUAUUAGUUGCUGUAGCUGCUGAACCGCUUAGAUUAUGGUGGUGUUUUCAACGGCGAUGAUGAGUGGUCACGAUUGGGAGAAGAGUCAGGAGACGAUGGCGAUGGUGGUGUUGUGGGAGAGGAGAUUGAGAAUCGAGAGGGAGGACUCUAGGAGAGAGAGAUCGAGAGGGAAGACUCUCGGAGAUAGAGAUAGAAAGGGAGGACUCAGGAGAAUCAACGAAUCGAGAAGGAGGACUCUGGGAGAGAGAGAUCGAUAGGGAAGGCUCUAGGAGAGAAAGAUCGAGAGGGAGGACUCGGGAGAAUCGACGAAUGGAGAGGGAAGACUCUGGGAGAAAGAGAUUGAUAGGGAAGACUGAAAGAGAGAGAGAGAUCGGCAGGGAGGGACUCGGGGAGAAUCUUCCAGAAAGCUGAGAUGUGUGUGCGUUUGUGAGAUUUGAGUGUGUGAGAGAAAGAUUUGAGAGUGUGUGAGGUUUGCAAACGGUUCUGGCCGGGGGCCCGCGACUUCAGAAAAUUGGAACCGGCCCGCCCUUGUGUUUACUUGGACCCGCCCCGCCCCGCCCCGCCCCGCCCUGUUUUGUAUCUAAAAGAAUACAGACCCGCCCCGUACCUGCCUCGAUGACACGCCCCGAUCCCGAUAUUUCCCCGAAUACCAGGAUAGGCACGUGCUGGCCGACACCGAGGGUGACGAAAGCCAUUUAUUAAGUGCAAAUGCUGACAACAAGGGAUAGAUAAGACUUAUAAAUAUAAAAGAAUAAAGAAUAUGCCUUUAAGGAACGUGUUCAGAGCAUACAACUAACUAGAAUACUAAAAGAAAUAAUAUAUAAAAAUUGAAUGAAUAACAUAAUGGGUCCUACACCAAGAAGACUCAAAGAUGCCGAUGUGGAAGUGCCUUGACGUCGGGAUUGUAUGCCUCGAUUCUAUGCCCUGAAGGGGGCGCAAAACAAACAUGAGUGGACCAAUUUGAUAUAUAUAUAACAAAACAGUUAUCAACGUACUAACCCCCAAGUUUUAUGAAAACACAUAUAUAAUGAUAAACAUAGGUUUUCCGAAACCUAGCAUGCCGUGCAAUGUCUCAAAUCAUAACUCAUAUAUAAUAAUCACUAGUGAAUUGUCCGAUAACCCCCAGGCCCCAUGCCGGCUCCCGUCUCUGAGCAGACAGUCAGAGGAAAAUACACUUCAGGCCCCAUGCCGGCUCCCCGUCCCUGUGCUAAAUAGCCAGAGGAAACACACUUCAGGCCCUAUGCCAACACCAAACCGUCGCCCGGGACGGACCGGAAUCUAUCCCUACGUCCCGUAGCGGAAAGGACCACUAGGUAAAUACAAAACCAUUGAACAUAUAUAUAUUGAAAAACAACUUCAUAGUAUAAAGUCAUCCAUCAUCUAUACUAUAAAGAGGUGUUUGAAACAUGUUCUAAAUAUCAUAUCGUCAUCCAUCAGAUAUUCUAUAAGAACACGGGUUAUAGGAAAAAUAGUAAUAAUUCAAACUAGCCUCAGUAAGCAUGUUAUGUCACAAAACGUUUCAUAAAACGUAAUCAUCAAAUCAUGUUUUUCAUGUAUGCAUUUCUACUAUAAAACAUGCAUUUUAGAAGGGGUCCACUCACAGUACUUAGUUGCCAAAUGCUGCGCCACUAGCGAAGACGGAAACGUCACAAUAAUUGCCCCUAAGCACAUAAAUGGUACAAUAAAUAAAACUAUAUAAUAGAAAUUGAAUUUGAGAAAACGGACAUUGGAAACGAAUCCAGAACGUCGAAUUACCCUAAGAAGGGUUUGAAUUAAAUAAAAUAGGGAAUUUGGAAUUGGAUGGGUUUAGGGUUUUAAAUGAUUUGGGUUAUAAAGGGUUUAGGGUGAAAAUCACCACACAAACACACAGACGCACCACACAAACACACACAUGCACGGCAUGCACAUGCAUGCAAGCAUGCAUAUACACACACGUACGCAUGCACUUAAACACACACACACACAAACCACAAAGGCCUUAAGGCCUCACAUAAGGACCGGGCUUUAAGCCCUUUCACUCAAAACCGGCCCAAGGCCCUUUGGGCUGCUGAAAAUAAAUAAUUAAAUAGAAUAAAAACGGGCUGGGCUAGGCAGGGAAGGCCCAAAGCCUUGGGUUUUGGUGGGUCGCCGGAUCCAAUGGGAGAGAAGGCCGGCAAUUCGGCCGGAAAACCAUCCCACUUUAAACGGCCAUAACUUUAACAAUACUCAACGAAAUCAAGCGAGACAAAAACGAAAGUUAUAGCCCUUGAAGAGACGAAGAGAAUGGUACUCACACGACGUCUAACUCGCCGUGGUUUGGCCGGAAAACGCCUUGAAAGCGUCGACUCGCCGGAAACUGGGUAAGAUUCAAAUGAGUAUAACUUUUUCCAAUACUCAACGAAAUUGAGUGAAACAAAAAGGAAAGUUAUACUACUCGACGAGAUGAGAGAUGAUACCUUGUACGCCGGCCAACUCGUCGUGGUUUGGCCGGAAAUGGCCUCGAAAGGGGCGGUGCUCGCCGGAGCUUACUCCGUGUCGUCGAACUCGCAGGGCAGGGUCCAGGGUUCGUUGCGAGCCUCUCUUCGAUGGUGACUCGGUCCUAGUGAGUCCAGGGGAAGAGAGAGAGCCGAGAGACAGACAGAAGAAGGAAGAAAAGAAAACAGAAAAGAAGAAGAAGAAAGAAGGGAGUUCACGGGGGAGGGACAGAGAGAGAAGGAAGAGUGACGGGAAUGGGGGACACAAAAACAGAAGGUGGGCCCCUUGGGCACACCAAUUAAGAAUUAAAAACCAUUUUUAAAUAAAAUGGGGGUGAGGUGUUACACCCGAACUGCCAAUACCCGUCCCUACCCGUGGGUCCAGGACCCGUUUGCCCACCCCUAAUUUCACCCAUCAUAAAAAAUUA
rnacentral:lncRNA from 1 species